rnacentral:lncRNA from 1 species
GGAGGAGGAGUCUCAGGCCUGUCAUCAAAGGGGACGCUCGUCGGCAUAUCGACAUUCUGAUCCUCCGGCUGGUCGGCAAACGGGUCCGACUCCAAUUCCAGGUCCGAGUACCUCGCUCGAAAACAAGCAUAAGCCACCCGAUACCUAAACUCAUAUGUCACCCACCCCGACCUCACUAGGUCGCGCUCAAACCCGGCGGAUGCCUUGUACUCAACGAUCGCCCCCUUGAUCUUCUCGGGAAGCGCCAGCCACUCCUCCUUCAGGACCUCUUCGG